UGGGGAAUAUUGGACAAUGGGCGCAAGCCUGAUCCAGCCAUGCCGCGUGAGUGAUGAAGGCCUUAGGGUUGUAAAGCUCUUUCGCCGGUGAAGAUAAUGACGGUAACCGGAGAAGAAGCCCCGGCUAACUUCGUGCCAGCAGCCGCGGUAAUACGAAGGGGUCUAGCGUUGCUCGGAAUUUCUGGGCGUAAAGCGCACGUAGGCGGUUUCUUAAGUCGGGGGUGAAAUCCUGGAGCUCAACUCCAGAACUGCCUUCGAUACUGGGAAACUUGAGUUCGGGAGAGGUGAGUGGAACUGCGAGUGUAGAGGUGAAAUUCGUAGAUAUUCGCAAGAACACCAGUGGCGAAGGCGGCUCACUGGCCCGAUACUGACGCUGAGGUGCGAAAGCGCGGAGCAAACA
rnacentral:rRNA from 1 species